AAAGCGUGCGCAGGCGGUUUUGUAAGACUGUCGUGAAAUCCCCGGGCUCAACCUGGGAAUGGCGAUGGUGACUGCAAGGCUAGAGUUUGGCAGAGGGGGGUAGAAUUCCACGUGUAGCAGUGAAAUGCGUAGAUAUGUGGAGGAACACCGAUGGCGAAGGCAGCCCCCUGGGUCAAAACUGACGCUCAUGCACGAAAGCGUGGGGAGCAAACAGGAUUAGAUACCCCGGU
rnacentral:rRNA from 1 species